AAUGAACGCUGGCGGCGUGCCUAACACAUGCAAGUCGGAUGUGCCCGCAAGGGUGCAUGGCAGACGGGUGAGUAACGCGUGGGGAAUCUACCUUUUAGUGGGGAAUAACGCUCCGAAAGGAGUGGUAAUACCGCAUGUGACCAUUGGCUGGGAUGCUGAUGGUGAAACCCUGGGACCUUCGGGCCAGGGGCUAGAAGAGGAUCCUGCGUCUGAUUAGCUAGUUGGUGGGGUAACGGCCUACCAAGGCGACGAUCAGUAGCCGGCCUGAGAGGGUGAUCGGCCACACUGGAACUGAGACACGGUCCAGACUCCUACGGGAGGCAGCAGUGGGGAAUUUUGCGCAAUGGACGAAAGUCUGACGCAGCAACGCCGCGUGGGUGAUGAAGGUCUUCGGAUUGUAAAACCCUGUCGCCGGGGACGAAGGUGGUUCAGUGAAUAGCUGAGUCGCUUGACGGUACCCGGAAAGGAAGCCCCGGCUAACUCUGUGCCAGCAGCCGCGGU
rnacentral:rRNA from 1 species